rnacentral:rRNA from 1 species
GUCUAGGUCCAUACCACCCUAAAUUCACCAGGUCCCAUCUGAUCUUGGAAGCUAAGCAGUGUCUAACCGAGUUACUACUUGGAUGGAACAAGGGAGCCACGGAAAGAGACU